AGAGGCGGCAGAAGAACAGAUGAAAGAACAGACAGAGAGAUUGAGGGAGGAGCUGAGCUGUUAGUGAACUAUAGAAGAGACACAAACUUCCACUUUAACACAGUUCAACACACAAAAGCCAAACAUCAUCUUUCUCCAACAUGCUGUCUGUGCAGACAUCUGUGUUCACUCUGCUGCUUCUAGUCAUUGGAACAGAUGUCAGCUGUGAAGAACUCACUGCAGUCAAGAAGGAAGAGUCCACUUUGGAAGGAGCUCCUGUCACUCUGUCCUACAGAUAUAAAAAUGCUGCAACAGGAAGUGAUCAGCUUUACUGGUAUCGACAAUUUCCAGGAAAACCUCCAGAGUUCUUGAUCUCUCACAUUGGAACAGGACUGAUGUUACGGAGUGCAGUCCCUGGAAUUUCCAUCAAAGUGAAUGACGACAAAACACAAAUGGAUCUACAGAUCUCCUCUCCUGCAGUGACAGACUCUGCUGUGUACUACUGUGCUGUGAAGCCCACAGUGACAGGAAACAACAAAAACCUGUACAAAAACCUGUAGAGAACACACAAUACACCACAACAUCCGCUAGAGGGCAUAACAUUGUCAAAACACUGAUUGUUGAGUCGUUGGACUGACAACAAAGACAACAGAGAAAUGAAGUAAAGAUCAGAGACAGAGCUGCAGUGGAAGAACUACAUUUUUUGAUUGAGUUUAUUUUAUUGGCCCCGCCCACUGAGCUUCAGAUCAUCCAGUGAACGACAAAUUACUACACAACAUCCACUAGAAGACAUCACACACUAAUAAAUUCACUGAUUGUUAUGUCAAGGGACUGAUGUCAAAUACAUCAGAGAAAUGAAGCAGUAAAUGAAGAAAACAGAGCUGCUGUGAAAGAACCAAGCUCUAUGAUUGUUCGAGUUUAUCUGAUUGGCCCGCCCACUGAACUUCAGAUCAUCCAGUGACAUUAUUUCUCCCUCAUUGUGCUGCAGUGGAAGAACAGAGUUCAUCUGCUGUCUGUGUGUCUUCAAGAACUCC